AGAACGAACGCUGGCGGCAGGCCUAACACAUGCAAGUCGAGCGCUCCGCAAGGAGAGCGGCGCACGGGAGAGUAACGCGUGGGAACCUACCUUUUGGUUUGGGAUAACAUCGGGAAACUGGUGCUAAUACCGGAUAAGCCCUUCGGGGGAAAGAUUUAUCGCCAUUAGAUGGGCCCGCGUUAGAUUAGCUAGUUGGUGAGGUAAUGGCUCACCAAGGCAACGAUCUAUAGCUGGUCUGAGAGGAUGAUCAGCCUCACUGGGACUGAGACACGGCCCAGACUCCUACGGGAGGCAGCAGUGGGGAAUAUUGGACAAUGGGGGCAACCCUGAUCCAGCCAUGCCGCGUGAAUGAUGAAGGCCUUCGGGUUGUAAAGUUCUUUUGACGGGGACGAUGAUGACGGUACCCGUAGAAUAAGCUCCGGCUAACUUCGUGCCAGCAGCCGC
rnacentral:rRNA from 1 species